rnacentral:rRNA from 1 species
GGUNCGUAGGUGACCUGCGGAAGGAUCAUUA